AGAGUUGGCGAGGUGGUUGCAGAUUUGUCCUAGAGGCAAAUUUGAGGAAAGUCCGGACUCCCGAAAGACCAUACUUGCUGGAUAAUUCCCAGUGCGAGCGAUCGCGAGGAUAGUGCCACAGAAAAAUACCGCCUUUUCAUUAAACAUUGAACAUUAAACAUUAAACAGCAACCACUGAGAAAUGCUAAAUGAUAAAUGCUCAAUGAAAUUGGUAAGGGUGCAAAGGUGCGGUAAGAGCGCACCAGCAGUAUCGAGAGGUACUGGCUCGGUAAACCCCAGUAGGGAGCAAGGUCGAAGGGAUUAGGGUUGGUCUUUUUCCCAUCCCGACCAAGGAGAACCGCAUGAGGUGUUUGGUAACAAGCAUCCUAGAUAGAUAACUACCCUCAGAUUAUAAAUCACGAUAAUCUGAGAACAGAAUCCGGCUUACGUUUCAACUCUCUUG
rnacentral:RNase_P_RNA from 2 species